rnacentral:rRNA from 1 species
AUCAGGAGGUUAGUGCAAUGGCAUAAGCCAGCUUGACUGCGAGCGUGACGGCGCGAGCAGGUGCGAAAGCAGGUCAUAGUGAUCCGGUGGUUCUGAAUGGAAGGGCCAUCGCUCAACGGAUAAAAGGUACUCCGGGGAUAACAGGCUGAUACCGCCCAAGAGUUCAUAUCGACGGCGGUGUUUGGCACCUCGAUGUCGGCUCAUCACAUCCUGGGGCUGAAGUAGGUCCCAAGGGUAUGGCUGUUCGCCAUUUAAAGUGGUACGCGAGCUGGGUUUAGAACGUCGUGAGACAGUUCGGUCCCUAUCUGCCGUGGGCGCUGGAGAACUGAGGGGGGCUGCUCCUAGUACGAGAGGACCGGAGUGGACGCAUCACUGGUGUUCGGGUUGUCAUGCCAAUGGCACUGCCCGGUAGCUAAAUGCGGAAGAGAUAAGUGCUGAAAGCAUCUAAGCACGAAACUUGCCCCGAGAUGAGUUCUCCCUGACUCCUUGAGAGUCCUGAAGGAACGUUGAAGACGACGACGUUGAUAGGCCGGGUGUGUAAGCGCAGCGAUGCGUUGAGCUAACCGGUACUAAUGAACCGUGAGGCUUAACCUU